ACUCCUCCUCCCCCAGCCACCCCCCCAGGAAACAGUAACGGCCUGCACAGGAGUGGAACAAUCAUCAAACCGAUAGAAACCUUUGAGCAGAGAGUGCUCGACAUGAAUAGGAAUUCAAAAAGAGAGGAGCCAGAAUCUCUGACCAUUUGGAACUGCUGGCAAAGUUCGACAGAGUCACCCGCAGGCAUUUUCUGAAGUCAACAAUCAAACAAUUCACAGUGUGCGAGAUGACCAGAUCCAAACUGACAAACAAAAGCAAUGGAGUUGUUCGAGCAAAGUCUGUUGAUUUGGAGUUUCAAACAUUGAGCCUUUGUUGAAC